UAUUAUAUUUUUAAACAAGCGGCACGAGCUCGUCCUCCGUUCCGCUUUCCCUCCUAUCUCUCCCCGCCGCUGGAAACUCUUUUUGCUGGCCGGAGUACUGGCGGUUCGCGGACGGUAUGGACCAUUCUCCGGUGUCCUCCGGCCGUGGUUCGGUUUCUUCAUGGGAGGAAUCUCGGACGUCUCGUUUGGAUUCGGAGGGGGAGCUCCGAAUCUUGGCUUGAUUCGUUGUUGAAUGGGGAAUGUGGCCUUCCUCUCUCUCCCAGAAGAGCGACCAUUGCUUCGCCUCUGAAGGUAGGAAUCGAUUUCUAGGGUUCUUUUGCUUCGCCGGAGGGCUCAGUUUUGGAACUGGGCGGGUGGAGCGGCAC
rnacentral:lncRNA from 1 species